GGUGAACGCUGGCGGCAGGCCUAAUACAUGCAAGUCGAACGGCAGCACAGUGGAGCUUGCUCUAUGGGUGGCGAGUGGCGGACGGGGUGAGGAAUACAUGGGAAUCUGCCCAGUCGUGGGGGAUAACGUAUGGAAACGUACGCUAAUACCGCAUGCGCCCUUCGGGGGAAAGUCGGGGACCGCAAGGCCUGACGCGAUUGGAUGAGCCCAUGUUCGAUUAGCUAGUUGGCGGGGUAACGGCCCACCAAGGCGACGAUCGAUAGCUGGUCUGAGAGGAUGAUCAGCCACACUGGAACUGAGACACGGUCCAGACUCCUACGGGAGGCAGCAGUAGGGAAUAUUGGACAAUGGGGGGCAACCCCUGAUCCAGCCAUGCCGCGUGAGUGAAGAAGGCCCUCGGGUUGUAAAGCUCUUUUGUUGGGGGAAGAAAAGCAGUUGGUUAAUACCCGAUUGUUCUGACGGUACCCAAAGAAUAAGCACCGGCUAACUUCGUGCCAGCAGCCGCGGUAAU
rnacentral:rRNA from 1 species